rnacentral:rRNA from 1 species
GACGAACGCUGGCGGCGUGCUUAACACAUGCAAGUCGAGCGGAAAGGCCUGCUUUCCCUUGUGGAUUGCGGGUACUCGAGUGGCGAACGAGUGAGUAACACGUGAGUGAUCUGCCCCCAACUUGGGUAUAAGCCUGGGAAACUGGGUCUAAUUCCCGAUAGGACUGCAGGGUGGUGCCUGUGGUGGAAAACGAUUUUCUAGUGGUUGGGGAUGAGCUCGCGGCCUAUCAGCUUGUUGGUGGGGUAAUGGCCUACCAAGGCGGCGACGGGUAGCCGGCCUGAGAGGGUGGACGGCCACAUUGGGACUGGGAUACGGCCCAGACUCCUACGGGAGGCAGCAGUGGGGAAUAUUGCACAAUGGGCGGAAGCCUGAUGCAGCGACGCCGCGUGGGGGAUGACGGCCUUCGGGUUGUAAACUCCUUUCGACCGCGAGGAAGCCACCUGGUUGGAAGGGUGGUGACGGUAGUGGUAGAAGAAGCACCGGCUAACUACGUG